rnacentral:rRNA from 1 species
UUAGGAAUCUUGCGCAAUGGGCGAAAGCCUGACGCAGCAACGCCGCGUGAGGGAUGAAGGCUCUCGGGUUGUAAACCUCUUUCAGCAGGGACGAUUGUGACGGUACCUGCAGAAGAAGGACCGGCCAACUACGUG